UACAGAGGGUGCGAGCGUUAAUCGGAAUUACUGGGCGUAAAGGGCGCGUAGGCGGUUUAAUAGGUGUGAUGUGAAAGCCCUGGGCUUAACCUAGGAAGUGCACUCGAAACUCCCGAACUAGAGUCCUGGAGAGGAAGGCGGAAUUCUCGGUGUAGAGGUGAAAUUCGUAGAUAUCGAGAGGAACAUCGGUGGCGAAGGCGGCCUUCUGGACAGCGACUGACGCUGAGACGCGAAAGCGUGGGGAGCAAACAGG
rnacentral:rRNA from 1 species